rnacentral:rRNA from 1 species
UACGUAGGGUGCGAGCGUUAAUCGGAAUUACUGGGCGUAAAGCGUGCGCAGGCGGUUCGUUGUGUCGGUGGUGAAAUCCCCGGGCUUAACCUGGGAAUGGCCAUGGAAACUGGCGAACUGGAGUGUGGCAGAGGGGGGUGGAAUUCCGCGUGUAGCAGUGAAAUGCGUAGAGAUGCGGAGGAACACCGAUGGCGAAGGCAGCCCCCUGGGUCAAUACUGACGCUCAUGCACGAAAGCGUGGGGAGCAAACAGG